ACGCUCGACACCUACGGAAGGCAGCAGUUGGGAAUAUUGGACAAUGGAGGAAACUCUGAUCCAGUGACGCCGCGUGAAGGAAGAAGGUCUUCGGAUUGUAAACUUAUUUUGUCAGGGAAGAAAAAAUGACUGUACCUGAAGAAAAAGCACCGGCUAACUACGUGACAGCAGCCGCGGUAAUCUGAGCGGGCUGGCAAGGC
rnacentral:rRNA from 1 species